UUAGGGGUCAUCCAUAAUUGUCAACCAUUUUCCAAAGUGUACAAAACGUACACUUUUUCAGACCCCCCACCCUCCCUCAAAAAGUGUACAUCAACCAUUUUCAGAUUUCAAGAGAGGAAUCAAUCAUUCUUAAUAAAAAGAAGAUCCUGUUUAUUAUAUUUUAGUUUAAUAUAGAAAUUUGCAUUGAAAAUAAACUAAAACAUAUCUGACUGUUUUAUUUGAU
rnacentral:lncRNA from 1 species